UACGAAGGGAGCUAGCGUUGUUCGGAGUUACUGGGCGUAAAGGGCGCGUAGGCGGUUUAGUAAGUCAGAUGUGAAAGCCCCGGGCUUAACCUGGGAAAUGCGUUUGAGACUGCUUUACUUGAAUUCGGGAGAGGUUAGCGGAAUUCCCAGUGUAGAGGUGAAAUUCGUAGAUAUUGGGAAGAACAUCCGUGGCGAAGGCGGCUAACUGGACCGACAUUGACGCUGAGGCGCGAGAGCGUGGGUAGCAAACAGG
rnacentral:rRNA from 1 species